rnacentral:lncRNA from 1 species
ACAACGUUAAAUAUGAGAUAAACCAUACUCUUUCUAGAAAACAUGAUCUUAGGAACCAUUGGGAGGGAAAAUAUCGUGCUAAAACCAUUUCAUUUCUAAAAAUUAAGUUUUCAAAAUUGCCAACCAAACAAGUUUUUGAUAAAUAUACAUUUAACUGAAAACAUCAUCCAAACAGAAUCUAAGAUCAUCUUCAUUGCAAAAUUUAGAAUUCUAUGGGUUAAAGUGUCCAUAUAUAUAAAAGUGAAACUCAAUUUAGUUAACUCCAUUGCACUAGCUAAACACUCAUUGGUGCUCAUUGAGUAUUAAAUUUUUGGCUUUUAUACUUGUUUAAUGAUUUGGAACUCCCAGGAAUUUGUUGAAAUGUCAAUGCGGUUAGCAAAUAUUAACUGUUGAAAACGUGUGUUGCGCCUUUUAUUUUUUUAAAAUAAACAGAAAGUUUGAAAGAAGAAAUACAGAAAAUUUUCAAGUACAAAAAAAGAAUAAUAAUGAAAUUAAAUAACAAAGUAAAAAACUUAAAAGAACUUAAUGGCUAAGGCUUGGUACUUCCGAAAUAUGAUGUAUGACUCCCAUAAUAUAACAAUUUUGAAUUUCUGAUAGUAGUACUCUAAAUAAGAAGAACACGCUGAAUCUUCAAAUGUUUUCUUUCUCACAAAUGUAUACUAAAAAAUGAAGAUGAUGCUAUGCAAUUUUAUAACUCUUAAUAUCUAAUUUUUGAUUGAAUGAUCCAAUGAAUGAAUGCUGGUAGGUUUAUAUCGAAGUUCUCACACUUCUUAGAAGAUGUACAAGUGCCGUCACACCUCAUUAAAAAUGCAUUCGUUUGGCCAAACAGACACUCAUUCGGCUUAACAAUCACAUAUUCGUAUAAAUUAGAAGGUUGUGACUGUUCGCGAAUUAAAGGAAAAAAAUUAAGAAAUAAAUCAUAAUUUUUCUUCCGCAUAAAUUCGAAACGGCUCGACCGUUCACGAAAGAAAAUUAAAUUCAAGGAAGCAUAAUUUUUAACUGUUUAGAAAUUAAGAUAAUUGAAUAAAUUUUCGUCAAAAAAUUUAUAUUCAAUUAGCCUAAGCCCACAGCUCCCAAACCGGGGCCGGCCGAGUGGAUGCGGCAUAACAGCACAUGCGUCAAAACCAUAGGCUAAUAGAUCAAAUUCACUUUUCUAUUCCCAUUUUUCCAUUUCAAUGAAGUUUCUUUGAAAAAUAAUUUCUCAUUCAAAUCAACUCGAUUUUACACAAAUGAAUAUACUAAGUUCAUCAACUCAUUUAAGAGAACAUGAAUCAAUCAUUAUUCAACUAAUAAUUUAACAUGUUAAUUAAUUAGCAUGUUAAAUACUCAUAUUUCUUGUCUUCUAUUGCACAUGUUAAAAAACAAGCUAAACUUGUUAGUUGUUAAUGUUAGAAGUUGGAUUUUGACAAAGUUUGUGAAUACAUAUUGAGACUAAAAAAAACCGACCGACAAAAUUGACCCCGAUCCAUCGGUUUUUGCCCCCACCUUUCGGUUUUGGUCCACCAGUUUGCAAAAUUUAGAUUUUCAGUCUGGCCUAGAAAAAAAACCGACCAGACCAACACAUAUUUAUAUAUAUUAAUAUUAAUAAUAUAUUAAUAUUAAAGCAUAUUUGAUCUUGACAAUCUAUUGAAAAAUAAUAUUACUAAAGACAAAAAACAAAAUUAAAUUGCAACCAUCUACUGAAAAUAUGUUCGAAUUUGAAGUAAAAGGGAGUGUGUAUGCGCGUGUGCAUAUAUAUAUAUAUAUAUAUAUAUGCACUCCAAAACAGUGCAGAUUUUUUAUAAAUUGAUGUUUAAGAAGCACUAUAUAUUGAUGUUUAAGAAGCAACCAAGCAACAUCACUUGGUAAAACAAAUUUCCCUUGAAAUGGUUUCCAAGUUAGACCCAUAAUUAGAAGCUUCUUUGAUUAGUAUAAUAUUACGUGAAUUUCCGUACAUCAAAAUACACCCAAAUAUUCUCAUAUAAUAUUCAUACACCUACCAAACUUUUACCAAGAAAAAGCACAUUCAACACGGUCUAUCAUCUCUAUAAAUACCACAUAGAGUUAUGUUAUAACCCCAUAACAUAACCCUAAAUACCAUCUCAAAUUAAACCAUUUCAUCCAUCUCCCCAUCUCUAAACAAGAAUACAUGGCUGAGAAAGGCGUCAGCAUGACCCCAAUGGCUCCAGCCAACGUUUAUCCCCAGAGUGACCAAGAAUUCGCCGCGUCACAGUAUUCAGACGAGCUUCGCCAGAAAAAGAGACGCAAGCUCUUCAUAUACAUCGCCACCUUCAUUGUCUUUCAGAUCAUAGUCAUCAUGGUGUUUGCCCUGGUCAUAAUGCGCGCAAAAUCUCCGAAAGUCAAAAUUAGUUCCGCGGCGAUUGAAGGCCUUAAGGAGGAUUCCUCGUCCUAUAACAUGAC